rnacentral:piRNA from 1 species
GUCUUUCCUAGCCAUCCGCCAUGG